rnacentral:rRNA from 1 species
UGAGGAACAUGACCUUCGGCGGGGGAUAGCCGGCCCAACGGCCGGGUAAUACCGCGUACGACCACAUGGGGACAUCCCUGAGUGGUGAAAGCAGCAAUGCGCCGAUGGAGUGCCUCGCGGCCUAUCAGCUAAUUGGUGAGGUAACGGCUCACCAAGGCAACGACGGGUANCUGGUCUGAGAGGAUGGCCAGCCACAUUGGGACUGAGACACGGCCCAGACCUCUACCGGGGAGG